AAGUCGUAACAAGGUUUCCGUAGGUGAACCUGCGGAAGGAUCAUUAAUGAAAUCCAAGGGGUUGUUGGGGUGCCUUCGGGGCUCUGGCUUCUCCGUUCCUUCUCACACUUUGUCGAACCGUAGGGGGAGUUGGCGCGCUGUUUUGGGCCUUCUCCCCUGUCCCUUUUUAAACUCUUAAGUCAUUGGAUGAAGUCUUGGUGAAUAACCAAAAGAAACAACUUUCAACAACGGAUCUCUUGGCUCUC
rnacentral:misc_RNA from 1 species